GACGAACGCUGGCGGCGUGCUUAACACAUGCAAGUCGAACGGAAAGGCCCUGCUUUUGUGGGGUGCUCGAGUGGCGAACGGGUGAGUAACACGUGAGUAUCCUGCCCUUGACUUUGGGAUAACUUCAGGAAACUGGGGCUAAUACCGGAUAGGAGCUCCUGCUGCAUGGUGGGGGUUGGAAAGUUUCGGCGGUUGGGGAUGGACUCGCGGCUUAUCAGCUUGUUGGUGGGGUAGUGGCUUACCAAGGCUUUGACGGGUAGCCGGCCUGAGAGGGUGACCGGCCACAGUGGGACUGAGAUGCGGCCCAGACUGCUACGGGAGGCAGCAGUGGGGAAUAGUGCACGAUGGGCGGAAGCCUGAUGCAGCAACGCCGCGUGCGGGAUGACGGCCUUCGGGUUGUAAACCGCUUUCGCCUGUGACGAAGCGUGAGUGACGGUAAUGGGUAAAGAAGCACCGGCUAACUACGUG
rnacentral:rRNA from 1 species